rnacentral:rRNA from 1 species
GCCUGGGGAGUACGGCCGCAAGGUUAAAACUCAAAUGAAUUGACGGGGGCCCGCACAAGCGGUGGAGCAUGUGGUUUAAUUCGAUGCAACGCGAAGAACCUUACCUACUCUUGACAUCCACAGAAUUUGGUAGAGAUACCUUAGUGCCUUCGGGAACUGUGAGACAGGUGCUGCAUGGCUGUCGUCAGCUCGUGUUGUGAAAUGUUGGGUUAAGUCCCGCAACGAGCGCAACCCUUAUCCUUUGUUGCCAGC